ACGAACGCUGGCGGCGUGCUUAACACCUGCCAGUCGCACGGAAAGGCCCUGCUUUUGUGGGGUGCUCGAGUGGCGAACGGGUGAGUAACACGUGAGUAACCUGCCCUUGACUUUGGGAUAACUUCAGGAAACUGGGGCUAAUACCGGAUAGGAGCUCCUGCUGCAUGGUGGGGGUUGGAAAGUUUCGGUGGUUGGGGAUGGACUCGCGGCUUAUCAGCUUGUUGGUGGGGUAGUGGCUUACCAAGGCUUUGACGGGUAGCCGGCCUGAGAGGGUGACCGGCCACAUUGGGACUGAGAUACGGCCCAGACUCCUACGGGAGGCAGCAGUGGGGAAUAUUGCACAAUGGGCGGAAGCCUGAUGCAGCAACGCCGCGUGCGGGAUGACGGCCUUCGGGUUGUAAACCGCUUUCGCCUGUGACGAAGCGUGAGUGACGGUAAUGGGUAAAGAAGCACCGGCUAACUACGUG
rnacentral:rRNA from 1 species